rnacentral:rRNA from 1 species
UACGAAGGGGGCUAGCGUUGCUCGGAAUCACUGGGCGUAAAGCGCACGUAGGCGGAUUGCUAAGUCAGGGGUGAAAUCCUGGAGCGCAACUCCAGAACUGCCUUUGAUACUGGCGACCUUGAGUCCGGGAGAGGUGAGUGGAACUGCGAGUGUAGAGGUGAAAUUCGUAGAUAUUCGCAAGAACACCAGUGGCGAAGGCGGCUCACUGGCCCGGUACUGACGCUGAGGUGCGAAAGCGUGGGGAGCAAACAGG